UACGUAGGGGGCGAGCGUUGUCCGGAGUUAUUGGGCGUAAAGGGCGCGUAGGCGGCCUGGUAAGUCUGAGGUGAAACGCCGCAGCUCAACUGCGGACUUGCCUUGGAAACUGUCGGGCUUGAGGUGAUCAGAGGAGUGCGGAAUUCCCGGUGUAGCGGUGAAAUGCGUAGAGAUCGGGAGGAACACCAGUGGCGAAGGCGGCACUCUGGGAUCAAUCUGACGCUGAGGCGCGAAAGCUAGGGGAGCAAACGGG
rnacentral:rRNA from 1 species